rnacentral:rRNA from 1 species
UACGGGGGGAGCAAGCGUUGUUCGGAUUUACUGGGCGUAAAGGGCGCGUAGGCGGUCGUGACAAGUCACUUGUGAAAUCUCCGGGCUUAACUCGGAACGGUCAAGUGAUACUGUCGGACUAGAGUACAGAAGGGGCAACUGGAAUUCUCGGUGUAGCGGUGAAAUGCGUAGAUAUCGAGGGGAACACCUGCGGCGAAGGCGGGUUGCUGGGCUGACACUGACGCUGAGGCGCGAAAGCUAGGGGAGCGAACGGG